rnacentral:rRNA from 1 species
GGCGAACGGGUGAGUAAUACAUCGGAACGUGCCCAGUAGUGGGGGAUAGCUCGGCGAAAGCCGGAUUAAUACCGCAUACGACCUACGGGUGAAAGCGGGGGACCGCAAGGCCUCGCGCUGUUGGAGCGGCCGAUGUCAGAUUAGGUUGUUGGUGAGGUAACGGCUCACCAAGCCGACGAUCUGUAGCUGGUCUGAGAGGACGACCAGCCACACUGGGACUGAGACACGGCCCAGACUCCUACGGGAGGCAGCAGUGGGGAAUUUUGGACAAUGGGCGAAAGCCUGAUCCAGCCAUGCCGCGUGCGGGAAGAAGGCCUUCGGGUUGUAAACCGCUUUUGUCGGGGAAGAAAUCUUCUGGGCUAAUACCCCAGGAGGAUGACGGUACCCGAAGAAUAAGCACCGGCUAACUACGUGCCAGCCGCCGCGG